rnacentral:lncRNA from 1 species
UAGUCCUGUAUCCUUGCAUUUUUUGACAGUAAAAGGAGUUUGAAAGGAGGCAGCUUCCUCUUGCUACUAUUGUUUGUCACUCCUAGCAUACUUCUGAAGCAGUAUUACUGAAGAACCCCCCACCGUGCUUGGAGAGAGGAAAAGGUGGGGAAAGGGAAGUAAAAGGGGCAGAGAAGUGAGUAUGACCCUUCUUGUGGGAAUGGUUAACAUGGUCAAGAAAGCAGAGGACCACAUCCUUCCAUGCCUGUGAAAGGAAGACCUGGGACGUGUUCUUUCCUCAUUAUGGGCUACCCUGCAUUUUCGUACAGGAUUUAUUCAGAAGAAUAAAUCUACUCGUGGAAUUGCAGGCAGGCAUCGGGAAGAGCAAUUUCAAGGGCCUUCAAACCAGCCCUGUAAUAGGCAGUGACCUACUUAGGCUUCAGGUAAGAGGGGUCUGCCAAAAGGCUCCGCGUGGGCUUCUGUAUGGUCCAGGAAUUUAGGGAGGGGUAGGAGAUCUCUGGGCAAAAGCUGCAGUGUCAGAACAAGUCUGACUUUCCUGAUUUGUAUCUCUGGGUUAUCUUGGGCUGCAGUGAUUUCGUAUUUUGAAAUGAAAUCUCGGUAGGACUAUGUAAAAGUGGAAGAAAAAAACCAAAAACCAAAAAAACCCUACCUUUUUCUCCACAAUGAACAUGGGAGCAAAAUGUCAGCUACUGCUGAACUUUGCUGCCCACCUCAACUGAGUCACUCGCCUUGCACACUACUUAUUGACCUUGAGGUUUAGCAAUUACAAAGCUGAUUUGAUCAAAGAUAGAACAAACUGUCUUAUAUUCUGACCUCCAGGGAGUCACUUUGCCU